rnacentral:lncRNA from 1 species
UUUGAGAUGAUGAUUAUUUCCCCAGAUGAUCGAAGUUGAUUAUACUGAGCGCAUUAUUAUAGUUCCCUUUAAUAGGGAACUCCAAGCCAGAAAUCUGAUCCGAUUUUUUGUAUAAUUGUUUUAUGAUUUUUUUAUUGUUUUUCUGUGAAUGUGAAUGUCUCUGAUGAUGAUCCAAAUAAAACUUUCGUUCUUCUGAAUAUCUUUGUGGAAACGAUUAUUGGAGACCUGAACUGAAGAGGC